UCCUACGGGAGGCAGCAGUAGGGAAUCUUGCGCAAUGGGCGAAAGCCUGACGCAGCCAUGCCGCGUGAAUGAUGAAGGUCUUAGGAUUGUAAAAUUCUUUCACCGGGGACGAUAAUGACGGUACCCGGAGAAGAAGCCCCGGCUAACUUCGUGCCAGCAGCCGCGGUAAU
rnacentral:rRNA from 1 species